rnacentral:rRNA from 1 species
GGGCAAGUCUGGUGCCAGCAGCCGCGGUAAUUCCAGCUCCAAUAGCGUAUAUUAAAGUUGUUGCAGUUAAAAAGCUCGUAGUUGAAUUUCGGGAUUCGUCGGUUGGUCGGGCUUCACUGUCCGCACUGACCUGACGGGUUCCUACCUUCUGAAUAACCAGCAUGCUAUUAAGUUAGUGCGUUGGGGAAGCAGAGCUAUUACCUUGAAAAAAUUAGAGUGCUUAAAGCAGGCUUGUGCUUAAAUAGAUUAGCAUGGAAUAAUAAAAUAGGACGGCAUGGUUCUAUUUUGUUGGUUUCUAGGAUCACCGUAAUGAUUAAUAGGGAUAGUUGGGGGCAUUAGUAUUCAAUUGUCAGAGGUGAAAUUCUUGGAUUUAUUGAAGACUAACUUCUGCGAAAGCAUUUGCCAAGGAUGUUUUCAUUAAUCAAGAACGAAAGUUAGGGGAUCGAAGACGAUCAGAUACCGUCGUAGUCUUAACCAUAAACUAUGCCGACUAGGGAUCGGACGAUGUUAAUUUUUUAAUGACUCGUUCGGCGCCUUACGGGAAAC